GCAUUGUAAUAUCGACAAGAAUAAAUGUUUCUAUUCAAAAACAGUAAUUUGUAAUGCGCACGCGUGCACCGAAUUGGUAAAACAUUUGAAAUUAUCGCUAUUGCAUUUCAGUACUCCCUUUCAACUCUCGAAAACAUAAUUCAAAUUCAAGGUCAUUCGAGAGAAAUAUUCACCAUUACUUACUAAAGUCAACACACUGUAUAUUACUAUAGUGUCUACGAAAUUCCGAUGUUAGACCACAAAACGUCAAUAGUUGGCUAAUACAAAUUUAGUUACCGCAAUAUUAUUAUGACGCAAACGAAUUGUUUGAAAAAAAAAAAAUGUAUCGAAAAGUUAUUCUGUGACCAAUAUAACGAC